GUUAGAAUUGCAGGCUAUUAGGCAUAUAACGGCGUAGUGGUUCGUGUAAACCAUAGUUGGUGGAGGAUGAGGAAGAAAGGUUAAAAGGAACAUAGUACAAUGUAUGGUUGAAAGCAUUUGAUGAAGUAACUAAGAUUAAUGAAUUGGUCCAUUCAACGACUUCGUCCAGAAACCGAUGGUUUUACGAUUGGUUCAUGGCUAAACAAUUAAAACAUAUAACUUGGCAUGGGUAUUUUUACUUUUUUUUUU